CCCGAUGUUGAUUUCUUUGGGUAGAAACAUCAGUAGAUUAGGGGAGGGUUUAGUUCUUCACUAAGCAUUAAGUAUUCUGCUUUCUAUUAUAACAACGUAAUUGAUGUUUCUAACAAAGAAACUGAGAGUUAGAGAGAAGAUCCAAACCCGCCUAGGUUAAUGUUACCUACGGUGCCAAAGUGGCGGAACUUCCGGCAAUCUCGAUUCGGAGCAUUGAGUGGAGAGUUGACAGAGGGAGCUGUGUUAAAACGCGUGACGAAAUAUGCAAAUUUGUUGAAUGAGCCGUAAAUGUGGUUUUGCGUAAAUAUGCAAAUUAUUAGAUAUGACGUCGUAGAUGAAUGUUUCUCGUGGAAAUAUGCAAAUUAUUAAUAGUUAGUGAGACGUUUGUGAAGCGAUAGAGUUUUGUAGACAUCAAUUCCGACGAAUUUUGGUCCGGUCGUACAAUCCGCAAAUGUUACCAGUUAAUGGACAGAAAUUGCUUCAUUUGUCGAGUGAAUGACGGAUCCGAAAUCACCCUAAAUUGGGUUGUGUCUAAAUUUGUAAAUUGUGGUAGUAUAAUUAUCACCGAUGAGUGGAAGGGAUAUAAUCGCAUCGACGAUAUUAAACAUAGAACAGUCAAUCAUUCGAAAAACUAUGUAAACCCCCAAAACGGGUGAUCGUGCUCAAAACGUUGAAAGGUUAUGGGGUUAAUUAAAAAGAAGACGACAAAGAAAAGAACGUCAACGAGUGCAGAGGAAUCGACUAUGUUGGGGAAGAAACGUAGGAAAAAAAGGAUCACUAACUACUGGCCACCGCUAGAGGACUUUUCAACUCAUUUACAUUGGACGGCGAACAUGUAGCCUCAAAUAAAAGGUCGGUAUCGCCGUAAAUUGGUUAUUGCCUCUGCCAAGCGUGUGAAAGGACAAAUGAAGACGGACU